rnacentral:lncRNA from 1 species
GGCGGAAGUAGGUGAGAAGUUUCUGGAGGUGGUGACACGCCAGCUGAGAGCCUUCUGAAAAGUGAGUAGCUUUGUCCCUAAAGCAUAAGCCCACUGUCCGAAUAAGGUUGCGUUUAUAGUGCUCUUCUCUGUGACUCGUUAGCUGGGUCUUCCACAGCCUGGUUCCUUCUUCAUUCUUCCUACUCCCUACAACCUCACUCUGUCCUGACCCCAAAGUGGCAGCUAGAAACCAUCUCAGACACAAGUGUCACCAACAUGGGGCUGAGCAGCAGAAGGGCAGAGGGGCCUGCUAGGAUGACGGAUGAGGAAGCCCUGGGGCUAGAGGACAUCUGUCCCCCUUUCCCCUUCUACCUGAUGGGGAAGAUCUUUUGCUCAUAGAUGAAACCUUAAUAGCCCCAAGGCUACAGCUAAACAAGGCAUUGGAUGGAGAAAGGGGUCUAACAGAAGUCCUGCUCACUACUGCUUUCUGGAACCCCAAAUUGUAGAGUAAACCUAUGUCAGAUGGUUUGGUGAAUUGUCGGCUGUCAGCUCCUUCAGAAUGGCCCUCAAAGUCCUCUCCGUUCCUCCCAAGUAUGGAGGAUACAGUGUUAGGGUCUGCAGCUGCCCUUGAAGAGAACGCUAGAGAAAUGGCUUAGAAAUUGUACAGGUUAACCAUGGGAGACAGCCUGGACUCCUCACCUAACCUCUGGGGAAGCAGAUCUCUCCAAGAGGAGCCCCUGGAGAGGAGAAGUGCUGAGGAAGUCGGGAUUGGACAUCAAACUGAACAGGACCAGCCCCUCUAGCUGGUGGUACCAAGUACCAGGCUGUCACCCGGCUCCACGGCCUGCUCCGUGGGGCCGCAGGUAACGCGCCAGCAGUCCUUUUGGGGACCACACCCUUGUCCCAACACAAGCCCAGGACACAAGGCACAAACCCCCAGUGCUUCCUUCCCCAGCUGAGUGGUGAAGAAUUCAAUCAUUGAUGCCUUCUCAUUCACAGUCUUGCUUGUGGACAGCAGCAAGUGGGAAGGACUGGCCACAGGGGACUGCCAUCCUGUUGCGCAUGAUCGUGAAAGGGCUACUCAAGGUCGAAAACCUCACAUCAGGUGGUUUGAAGUGCUGCUUUGCAGGAGGCAUGCCUGAGAGGACUAGGUCCGAGGUUUUGCUUGCCUUCCCUUCCCUUCCUGAAAACGUACCUGUGCUGCGUCCCGCACUGAGCCAAACCUCCUGACUUCUGUUAGUGGCCGUAGCCCUUCACCUGUCUGACUCCUUUUUGUCCCUCUAGGUCUCAGCUCAGAUGCCACCAACAGUUAAUGUCACAUCACCCUGUUUAAUUCUUUCAGAGCACUCAUUGCUAUCAGCAGUUUUCUUGUUUACUGUGUGCCUCGCUGGAAUGUGAGUGUCACGAGGACAGGUCACCUGAUGUGUUCACUAGUGUAUCUAUUGCUAGGGCCCAGAACAUUCUUGGCUCAUAGCUUGUAACAGUUGGAUGAAUGUUCCCUCUCCUUGGAGUAUCUUCUUAGGAACUUCAGGAAAUACAAUGAUAAAUCCAACUGAGUAAGAGCUUAUGAUGAGACUUUGUGGAAUCCUGGUGGAGAAGGUCUUUGAGUGAGGGGAAAAGUCUUUUAAAAAUGCUCUAGAGGCAUUUUCUCAGUUCUGGAUGCUUUGCGUAUUUCCAUCAGGGAGAUCCAAUUAGUUCAUGAGUACCAGUUAUUCCCUCCCAAAUAUCUUCCUGGAAAAUAGGUACAGGUUUUUGGGUUUUGUUUUUUUUUUCCAUCUUUUGACAACUCCCUACCCCAUCCUGCCAAAAUAUUAGGUUUUAGAAUCCUAUCACGUUGAACUUCAACUUCUUUCCCUCAAAUCCCAUGGUUUGAAAUUGGGGCAUUUCAGGGGUCAGAGGGGAGCCCAGGAAGCCGAUUGUACUCCAUGUAAGUGCUGAAUACUCUAGACUCCCCAAGUGGGGGGGGAUAGAGGAGGGUCUCUCCCCUGAAGUGACUAUGUAAUUCAUGGAAAGGAAGGCAAACCCCACACAGUCCUGUGACUUGGGCAUUCUGGGGACUCUACAGAGCAGAAAGCAAAAUUAUAGCAAUUUAGUAACUUAAAUUUUUUUUUUAAUGUUUCUUUAUUUUUGAGAGACAGAGUGCAAGUGGGGGAGGGCCAGAGAGAGCAGGAGACACAGAAUCCAAAGCAGACUUCAGGGUCUGAGCUGUAAGCACAGAGCUCAAUGCGGGGCUAGAACUCACAAACAAUGAGAUCAUGACCUGAGCUGAAGUCAGACGCUCAACUGACGUAGCCACCCAGGCACCCCACAUUUGGUAACUUUUUUAAUAAGUUGGCACUAUUUGUUUCCCAUCAUGCCCUGUAUGAGAACAGUGACUGCACAUCUGUGGCUAGAGGUGUUUCUGCUGGGAGGCUGUUUAUGGAAUUUCUCAUUUUCCCGGUCGGCUCUCCUUGCCAUGAACUAGUUUCACCCAGUAGAGAGCUAUUUCUAGAGACAGCUUUAACUUAAUGGCAGGGCCAGAUAGAAUUUUAGUUUGUUCUUGACAAUAUCUUUCUCCCUUUGUUCUUCAACUACCCUUCCCUGCUCUGGGCUCAUGGGUCAGGUGGCCCCUUCAUCUCUCAGGCUGGAGGGCAGUGACUCACAGAGGGUGGUAAUAGCCUAUGUUGUUGCUACAGCUGCUGGAAUGAGCUGUUGUCUAAGACCUUAGGAUGAGGUUUUCCUUCUGGCUUAUCAGUUAACACUUGGGCUUCUAUAAUCCUAAGCAUUUUCACUUCCAAGAAAGCUAUUAAGACCAAUGAGAAAAAAAGAAGGAAAAGUAUUUGGUGGUGUCAGCUCUUCUGAGAUACUAGGUGGUAUAAGAAGGAUCUAGGAAAUGUUGGGGGGAGACUCCAUUCCUUUUAAUAAUUUAAUAAUGGAGUUGUAUCAGUCAGAACACACUAAGUUAUACUGCGGUAACAAAUACCACCACCAUCUCAUCUCAGUGGCUUAAAAAUAAAGGAAGAUAUAUUUCUCACUGAGGCUAUAGUCUGUCAUAUUGGGCAGGUGAGGUGACCUCUGCUUAUCGUAGGCCCUCAGGUACCCAGCCUGAUGGCUGUUGGUUGCCUCACUAAAGAGGAAGAGUUCUGGGGUGGGGGGGUCUGCCUUGCAUAGACCAUUAAGUGCUGUGGUCCAGAAGUGAUGUUCAAGCAUGCCCAAACACAAGAGGGGUAGGAGUACAAUCUUAUAGAGUCUGAAGGUGGGAAGAGUUGGAAAGAGAUCAGCCUCAAAGUUAGCAACAGAAGUUGACUGAAUUGGACUUCGGAACAGUUCAAACCUUUGAGACUCUGACUUGUGAUUGUUUCAAUCAUUUAUUGGGCUUGAGGGCCAUAACAGUUUGGUUUCAUGGCCAUGUUCUGCUUUGGCCUAGAGAGCUAUUGCUGUGUUUAUUUUCUCAAAAGCCUCUUUUUGGUCAGUUAGUAUCAAGAGGCAACAUUAGAGGGUGGAAGGUAAUUGGGAUUAGGAGUUGAGAUAUGGUAUCACAGGCAUGGCUAUUUUAGCACUGUUUGGAGAACACAAACUUAGGUCAUAUUAAUAGAAGUAGAAGAUGUGGAUCAAGGGAGGUGAUAAUCCUCCUUUAUUUUGCUGUACUUAUACCCUGCCUGAAUGUCAUACUUUGAAAGUAACUUUGACAAGCUUUGUCAAGCUGGAACCCAGGAAGUGUUAUCAAGGGGAGAGGAGAGUCUUGAAAAUUAUUGAAAGGGAUAACUUGGCAGCUGUUGUAUUUGAAAAGCUGUUGGAAGUUUUGUUUGUUUGUUUGUUUUUUACUGUUGAAAAAGUUACCUCCCUAUUCUGAAAUGGAUUAGACUGCACUGUGAGCAGCAUUCUCAUUGCUAUAAGUGACCAAAGAAAGCAGAGAAAGGAGUUUGACCUUCCAGACAAGGGAAGAAGGGUGGUUGUAGUAGGCAGGUUCUUGGGUCUCUUCCAAUCUGUCAUGAUUGUUUCUCUGACUCAGUUUUUCUCAGAAAUAAAGAAUAAGUCUUAAUCAUGGGAGAAAGAGUGAAUUCCAAGUGAGACUCCACUAUAUAAAAUGUUCAUACUGUUCUGCUGCUAAUCCCUCAAGAAUCUUGACAUUGGGUGAUAGGCUCUCCAUUUUAUAUGUAAAGUAACCGAGGCUGAGAAGAAAGUCAAGCACACGUAUAAUCUCACAAGGUGCUUUGGCUUAAGUGCAGCAUCUGGAACCAGACAGCUUGGGUUUACGUUCUGGCUCUGGAGCCUGCUAGCUGUGCAACCUUGGGUAAGUCAUUUAACCUCUCUGUUUUAUACUCUGUAAAAUGGAAAUGAUAGCACCUCAUAGGGUCGUGAGGAUUAACUGACUUAAUUAUACAGAGCAUAUUGAAUGUUUAGUACCCUGGCACAGAAUAUGAGUUGUCUAUGUUUCAUCUGUUAUUUAAACCAUUAUCAAUGUCUGCACUAAGUUUGAAACACUAUAGGAAUUUGAUUCAUAUAAAUAGGAAGGCCAAACUAAUUUCUCUUUUACUUUCUCUCGUGACUCAUGAAGAUAUAAUGAUACUUUUCUCCCUUUCUGGAAAUGGCUCUGUUCUAGCAUUUCAACAUAAUCCGAGAGGUGAGGUUUCAAAAUUGAAGAGUAUUAGAUAUAUUCUAAACCCACGAAUCAUGUUUACAGACCUGAAUCCUCCAAAGCCAUCUUGUAAGCCGAUAGCAGGAGAGAGGCUGUAUGUUUGGGAAUAUUCACAAAGAAUUGUUUUCACUAGUCCCAUCAGGAAAUUGAUCAGAAAUCAGCCUUUCUGAUCCAGAUUUCAAGCUAUGUGCCACCACCCCCCCUCAACUUUCCAAAUACUCAAACUCAAUAUUUUUUUAGUGUAUUGGGUCUAAGUUUUUGUAUUUAUCAGGUUUAAACUGAAUAGCAGCAUGACCCUGGGGCCAUUGUCUCAGAAUCCAUUCCCAAGUCUAGUGUAAACGCAAACAUAAAUGCAAACAAGAGCAUGCUUCUGGUCAGGUGGUGGGGUGCAGGGCGGGGGUAAAAGUCCCAAUGAGGCUCAUGAGACUAAAGCAUUAUUGGUAUGCUUUGUUGAUAGGGGUUUCUUGUUUCCUCUCUCUGGCAGACGUCUUAGUCAAAGUGAUGGUUAAGUCAGAGCUCCUCAAAGAGUCUUUGAGUGGGGACCCUUCCAAAGUGUUAAAAUCUGUGGUGAGAGAAAUUAAGCAGGAGGGGAGAUGAGGCCCAGACUAAGUACCUGUGUGCCCACAGACCCUUCCUGUUCUAGUGACAAGGUCAGCAGUCUCUGGUGGGGAUCCCCACCCCUGCACGUUCUCAUUUUCUCUUUCUCCCUCUCCCCACUCCAUCCUCCUUUCCCAGGCCCACCGCCCUCCUCUCCCUCCCCCAGGUGGGAAGCUGUGCUCCAUACCCUGACUGCUUUCUGGCUGGGAUCAGGGGACACAUGAAAGAAGGAUGUCAGACCGGGGUUUAGGUGAUUAUGCUCUAGUUCCAGCUGCAUCCCUAAUAGAGUUUUGGACAAAGUCCCCAUUCCAAAUCUGUUUUCUUAGCUCUAUAAAGUCCGCAUGUGAGUUUAACAAAGUUUCCAGUUCUAAAAGUUUCUAACUUACUAAGACCUAAAUUGACUGGGAUACUACUACUGUAUCUGUGUUAUUGCCGGAUCUCUCAACUGGUUGCUGAGCUGUUUGGGGGAAGGACCAUAGGUACUGAGAUGGUACAAAGGAGUACCCAUCUCACACUCUUUGUCUCCUAAGGCUGGAUACAGCCUUAGGCUGUUAAUAGACCUCAGAGAUUGUGGUAACUCUGCUUUGUUCACCUUCAGUUGAUAAUAUGAUUCUUCCUCUAACUAAUUUUCUUCCUGUAAAAAGAUCUGGCAUAAUUUCUGUGCCCCAGUUUCCUCUUCUAUAAAAUGAGAAUAAUAGUACUUACUUCAUAAGAUUGUUAUGAAGAUUAAAUGAGUUAAUAUGAAGAGUUUAAAACAGUGCCUGGCAUGUAAUACAAUCUCGCAAGUGUUAGUGGUUAUGAGACAUUGCUCAGAGGGCUAUAAAUGAUCAUGCCCCUUCUGGAAGACAGGGUAACAGAUAUAUCAAGAGAACAAAUGGUUCUCAGGCCCACAUAUCCCACUUCUGGAAAUCCCAGAAAGAUGGAACUUGGAAAACUCAUACAUCAUUAUAUUUAUCACAAGAUUAUCACAAUGAAAGUUAGAAAUAUGAGUGAUGAACAAGAUCAAAUAAAUUAUGGCACCCUCUACUUGACUCCUUUACAGCCACUAAAAGACAAUAGCAAUACAAAUCUCUGAAAAUCUGCAAACCUGUGUGCAUACAACGUAACUCCAUAUGAGAAAUGAAGUGCACACACUGAAGUGUGAAAUGUGUAGUAUUGUGGGUUUUCCCUUUUCUUUCAUAACUAAAAAGGAGGAGAUCUGUAGCAGAUGCAAAAGAUAGUCAAAAAAUGGGAGCACAAGAUAAUAAGUUUCUUUCCUUAUCUCAGGAAGACUUGACUUUAUUUAUUUAUUUAUUUUUAAUGUUUUAAUGUUUAUUUAUUUUUGAAAGGGGGGGGUGGGUAGUGAGAGAGGGAGACACAGAAUACGAAGCAGGCUCCAAAGUGUCAGCACAGAGCCUGAUGCAGGGCUCAAACUCAUGAACUACGAGGUCAUGACCUGAGCCAAAGUCGGACGCUUAACCAACUGAGCCACCCAGGCACCCCGGAAGACUUGACUUUAAUGACAAUUAUCACUUAGCAGUUCUUUUCUCAGAUUAGUUGCCUUUAACUCCUGUUCUUAAAGUUUACUCAGAAAAAGACACUCCAUUAGAAAUAAGCCACAGCUAUCUACCUAGGGCUGCGGUGCACCAGAUUUUUUGGGUACAACACUCCCUUGUGUUCUGGGGCUGAAGGCAGCCUCCGUAAUCAGUUGGUAGGAAUGUGUUGAGUCUUGACCAGCUGUAAUAUGGUGGUCUCAUACAAUCUCUGCUUUUGUUUACAGAUCUUUGGAGAAAAGGACUACUAUUCAUCCCCAAAUGAGGAGGGCAGGCUGACUGGAAUGGAAAAGUAUGUUCAGGAGGUUUGGUUGUUUAUUCGAGAUGUGUUGAUAUGUAGUUAUUCCAUCUGGGGCGGGGGCGGGGGAGCCUAAUUAAUUUACAUAUAGUCCAAGUACCCGAAAUGGGGGAAAUUCUAUCAAGUGUUAAAACUAGAGUGCUAGAUAAGACUUUGACACAACUUUCCCUUGCCUUGUUGUAAAUGGGAGAACAACCUGGUAAAAUACAAUAAACUAGAGCCAUUAACAUCCCAGGGAAUGUAAUUAAAAACCACCUCUUCAGGCUAAAUUUUCAUGGGAGAGAGAGAUGUUUAUACAGACAAGAACAAAGACUUGUUACCUGAUGGAAAGGACUAGAGUUUGGAUAACAAACUAAGUUAAUGAAUUCAACAGUCUACGAUAUAGUUUCAUAAUUUUAUGGUCUAAUCUUAGUCUCUUCAAAAACUAACAUUUCUCUACCAAGAGGUAUCUAGAUUGUGUUUUCUAUUCUUCCCUUCUAUUUCUUUUAAAGUUUAUUUAUUUAUUUUGAGAGCGGUGGGCAGAGAGGGAGAGGGGGAGAGAAUCCCAAGAUGGCUCUGCACUGCCCCCAAUGUGGGCCUUGAACUCAUGAACUGUGAGAUCAUGACCUGGGCUGAAACCAAGAGUUGGAUGCUUAGCCAGUUGAGCCAUCCAGGGGCCCCUCUAUUCUUCUCUUCUAAAACAUUCCUAGAAAAGAUGCCAUGAAUAUCACAUAUAGUUUCUGGUAACGCUUAAUUAAGAUCUCAAGCAGUGAGUGUGCCUGAUUCUCUGUCUUAUCAGCUAAGGACCCUCAUCGAGGAUGCCCUAAGAACCCAUGAGGUGGAGAAAACAUUCCCCUUUCUUGAAGCUGUUGAUGGGUCUCUUGGCUGCUGGUGGCAGUCAGUAUUUACUAUGCUUGGAAGAUUAGGCAAGAUUCAGCCUGGAUUGAGUAAAUAGGAAAAGUCCCCCAGUGCUAGUCCAUGUCAUUUCCCAUGGAGAGCUGCCCCUUCUCAGUCAUCACCAUGGGAGAGUUAUGCUUGCCUUCCGGCCUAAGGAAGGGUUGACUGUAUUAGUUCAUCUAAUUAUGUCAUAUUUUAUUUCACUCCUACUAUGGAUCAGGCAUUGUCCUGGGUACUUGGAGUUCAACAGUGAGCCUAAAAGACUAAUUCCUUCCCGAUGGACUUUACAGUCUAGCUAGGAGACAAGCAAGAAAAUUGCAGAGUAUGUUAGUUGAUAAGUUGAUCUGUUCUAUUGAGAAAUGUUCUUUCAAGGUGGUAAGGGAAAACCCUGUUGAGAAGGCAUGUGGGAGAGAGCUGUGCAGCUAGCCAGCAGGGUGAAGAGGCCUCCAGAUAGAUGAUGCUGAGGCCCUGAGGCAGGCUUGUGGCUUAGACCAACAAGAGUGGGAAAAAGGCAGAAGAUGAGUCUUUGGAAUAGUCUGGAGGAUAGUACAGCAGAAGGGACCAGAUAGUGAGACUAACCAGAGUAGUCUAUUCUUCUAUUUUUAGAUGCGAAUGAGUGCGAAAUUGGCCUGGAGCUCUGUGAUGAUGGAGCAGAAUGUGUGAACAGAUCUGGCUCUUACUAAUGUCACUUCCAAAAGGAGUAUGAAGACCAUACCCCAUGCAGCCUGGCACGCUGUGUGUGCACACUCCUCACAAAGGCACUGGUUGCCCAGAUGCCCUCUUGUGUGUAUGCUUAUAAGCUGUCGGGAUCACUUGUGAGACCUGUAGCAUCCUCAGGUCAGGGCUGAGCUCUCAUUCUGAUGCCUCUGGCCACAAACACCAAAGCAAACAUUCUCUGAAGGAUACAAAGUCCAGAAACUGUUCUAGAGCUUGGAACGUGGUAUAAAAGCACUUACUGGGAGGAUCUUCAUUGUGCUGAUUUUUCUUUUGCAGGCUUUAGCUUUGGAAUACUUCCAUAAGGAUUCCAUUCCUGACUCCGUUCAAAGGAGUUGUGUGUAGAAUUUAACUUGAACAUCUGGUUGUUUCACCAGAGCUCCAUCUGUCAUGCCCUGGGGAGAGGGCCUAUUUGUUGGGGGCGGCAGAGGGGGUGUGUGUUGCUUCAAGACUCAGCCUUUUAGACAUUUUCUUACCAAAGAUGAAAUUGGGCAGGAACUUGCACAGGAUUGAGUGAGCUUCUUCUGAACAGGUGUGGCAUAAAGCAAUUGGUAAUGAACUAGUGGAUGCCCUUAGCCUUUUUAAGGAGUUAUUGCUGGUGAUGGUAAUUUGUUUGGGACCUCUGAAAUAAUAUAAACUUCCUGGUGCUGCCACAGGCAGGUCAAUAGGCACGAUUUCUAUUUCUCAACUUGCUAACUUGCUGGGGGACCUUGGUCUUUGGUUCUCAAAUAUCCCUGAGAAACAAAGGAUUCAACUAGACAUCAAAGGUUUUGUCUAGCUCUUUGCAUAUUAGAUGUUGACAUUUCAGCAAAGAUGCCAUUAGACCCCAAGGGCAGGUGGGUGAACUUGCAAUGCUAUUUGCAUAGUUCUUUGGUUUUGUGUGUGUGUGUGUGUGUGUGUGUGUGUUUCUUAGUUGUCAUAUUUCAAAGGAAGAUUGAAUAUGUCACAAAAUACAGACUCAGUAUGAAUUUCUUAUGGCUAGGAAUCUACUUGUGACUGACAAUUUGUAGUUUUUUCAUGUUUUUUCUCUUCCCGCACCCUCCAAGUAUCCAGAUAAGGCAAUGUUUUUAUUUACUCUGCUAUUACAGAAUAGCCUGGGUGAUGUAUAAACAACAGAAAUUGUUCUGAAAGCUAGAAGGCCAAGAUCAAGGCUCUAGCAGAUUCAGCGUCUGAUGAGAACCUGCUUCAUAGUUCUUAGAUAGCCAUAUUCUUGCUGUGUCUUCACACAGAGGAAAUGGGCGAGGGUGUCUCUUGGGCCUCUUUUAUAAGGAUACUAAUCCCAUGUACAAACGCUCAACCCUCAUGAUCUAAUCACCUCCCAAUUCCACCUCCUAAUAACAUGACCUUGGGGUUGGGAUUUUGGUGUAUUAAUCUGGAAAGGAUAUAAGCAUUCAGUCCACUGUAGGCAGUGACAAGAGUUAAGCUGAAAUAAGUUCUGUGAGGCAGCCAUCUUGAAGUUUCGGAAAUCUGACAUCUGUGGAUUUUGCUCUAACGAUAGUUUCUAGAUGGUAUGCAAACUAGUUCUAGUUCUUUGGAUCUAUAGUAAGUUACAUGAUGAUAGAAUACAUUUUGGAAUACAGCUGGCUCUUGUUCUUCUCUGGUCUCUUUAAUGAUUUCUGUCUUUUUAAAAAUAGACAAAAUUAGGGGUGACUGGGUGAUUCAGUUGGUUAAGUGUCCAACUCUUGAUUUCAGCUCAGGUCUUGAUCUCAGGGUCGUGAGUUCAAGCCCUGUUUGGGCUCCACACUGGGCAAGAAGCCUACUUAGAGAAAAUAGACAAAAUAAAUUUCUGAUAUGCCUAACAUGGAAGACUUUUAGUCAUUAGCUCUUAGGCAAUUUAGAUUCCAUAUCACAAGAGGAUGUGGGACAUUUUUCAAAGUUAACUCUGUGUAUGAAUAGGGUUCUUGAGGGAGCUAUGUAGCAAAAGUUGGUGAAAGGUCCUUACAUUACCUGAUUCAUUUUGUUCCAAGUCUAGCUUUGGCUUUGAUAAAAUAUUAACAAUUCAUUUGUUUAUUCUCUCAAAAAAUAAGUACCUACUAAUGUAUCAGGCAAUAUGCUAGGGACAGGGGAUAAAAGUAUAAAUCUCUGAAGGCACUUUUGAGAGCCCAUUAGGUAAUGGAAUAUAAGCCUAUCAUUUAGUUCUCUUUAAAAAAAAAAUGUUUCUUUGUAUUUCAGGAGUUGACCUGGACCUGCUGGUUGGAGUUGCUGGUUCCUUUCAGUCGCGCUCAUGUUGACUAUUGGCCUCAUGUGGCUUGUGACUAGAACCUACAUCAAGAAGGAAAAUUCUCUGGGUCAGAAUGUGGCACCACAGGAAUGCCUGCCUAUAGCACCUGCCUUUGACCUGAUGGACCUCUGCAAACACCUUCCCUUCAACCCCUACCAGCCUAAGCCCCAUGCCAAGGAUCCACAUGGUGCUCCAGGCAAGAAUGUUCCUCAGAACAGGGAACUGCAGCUGUGGGUAGAGCAAUCAGGUUCUGAGGGUGGCUGCUGCCUCUAGAAAGGGUGGGGGUAGAAGACCUUGUCCUUUGGAGGUACAAACUUCACUGUGCCAUCAAAUCACACACUCAUGAACUUAGGAAGAAGUACCUUGGUUCUGAUUCUGUCACUUCUGUUCUCUGAUUCCAACUGUGUUGUGGUUCCUGACUCUCCCUGGGCAGAAGGCCUAUUUGCUGGGGGGCAGAGGAGGGGGUGUAUCUUGCCUCAAGACUCAGCCUAUAAUUCCAGCAAUGGACUGAGGUAGUCUUCCGGUGACCCAGACACUUCAGGUGAUGAGUGUGGUCCACAGGAAGUGUCCAGGGCAGCAGGAAGCACAUGGUACCAACCUCCAAAGUUGAAUGAGUUUAUCAGUGGACAGAUUAGAGAACUGUUAACAUAGUUUAGAAAACUCAACCUCAGGACUUUUCUCCCUUUGUAUGGGAAAAGAAACUCCCCUAAAAGUAGUGGGUGAGAACUCUUGAUUCUUUUUCCUUCAUACUUGGUUGCAUUUUAUUGGAUUAUAAAAUUGUACUUAUGGAAAGAUUCUGUCUUCUGUUCUUCAUCUAUUUUGGCUACUACAUGUGCCAGGUUGGUAUCAGAGCCCUACAG